rnacentral:rRNA from 1 species
UACGAAGGUGGCAAGCGUUACUCGGAAUUACUAGGCGUAAAGCGCAGGUAGGUGGUUGUGUAAGUCUGCUGUGAAAGCUCCCGGCUUAACUGGGAGAGGUCAGCGGAUACUGCAUAGCUAGAGUGUGGGAGAGGGUACUGGAAUUCCCGGUGUAGCGGUGAAAUGCGCAGAGAUCGGGAGGAACACCAAAGGCGAAAGCAGGUACCUGGACCAUUACUGACACUGAGCUGCGAAAGCUAGGGGAGCAAACAGG